UCGGAUACGAGUACAGCGGCGGACGGGUGAGUAACGCGUAGGAAUCUACCUAGUAGAAGGGGAUAGCCCGGGGAAACCCGGAUUAAUACCGUAUACCUCCUUCGGGAGAAAGAAGGCCUCUCUUUGAAGCUUUCGCUACUAGAUGAGCCUGCGUAAGAUUAGCUUGUUGGUGAGGUAAAGGCUCACCAAGGCAACGAUCUUUAGCUGGUCUGAGAGGACGAUCAGCCACAUUGGGACUGAGACACGGCCCAGACUCCUACGGGAGGCAGCAGUGGGGAAUAUUGGACAAUGGGCGCAAGCCUGAUCCAGCCAUACCGCGUGUGUGAAGAAGGCCUUCGGGUUGUAAAGCACUUUAAGCAGGGAGAAAAAGUUAUAAGCUAAUACCUUAUAACCUUGAUGUUACCUGCAGAAUAAGCACCGGCUAAUUCCGUGCCAGCAGCCGCGGUAAUACGGAAGGUGCAAGCGUUAAUCGGAAUUACUGGGCGUAAAGCGCGCGUAGGUGGUUUGUUAAGUUGGAUGUGAAAGCCCUGGGCUCAACCUAGGAACUGCAUCCAAAACUAACUCACUAGAGUACGAUAGAGGGAGGUAGAAUUCAUAGUGUAGCGGUGGAAUGCGUAGAUAUUAUGAAGAAUACCAGUGGCGAAGGCGGCCUCCUGGAUCUGUACUGACACUGAGGUGCGAAAGCGUGGGUAGCGAACAA
rnacentral:rRNA from 1 species